UACGAAGGGGGGCUAGCGUUGCUCGGAAUUACUGGGCGUAAAGCGCACGUAGGCGGCUUUCUAAGUCAGGGGUGAAAUCCUGGAGCUCAACUCCAGAACUGCCUUUGAUACUGAAGAUCUUGAGUUCGGGAGAGGUGAGUGGAACUGCGAGUGUAGAGGUGAAAUUCGUAGAUAUUCGCAAGAACACCAGUGGCGAAGGCGGCUCACUGGCCCGAUACUGACGCUGAGGCACGAAAGCGUGGGGAGCAAACAGG
rnacentral:rRNA from 1 species